GACGAACGCUGGCGGCGUGCUUAACACAUGCAAGUCGAACGGAAAGGCCCUGCUUGCAGGGUGCUCGAGUGGCGAACGGGUGAGUAACACGUGGGUGAUCUGCCCCUUACUUUGGGAUAAGCCUGGGAAACUGGGUCUAAUACUGGAUAGGACCAUGCUGUAGGUGGUGUGGCGGAAAGAUUAGUUUCGGUAAGGGAUGAGCUCGCGGCCUAUCAGCUUGUUGGUGGGGUAAUGGCCUACCAAGGCGUCGACGGGUAGCCGGCCUGAGAGGGUGGACGGCCACAUUGGGACUGAGAUACGGCCCAGACUCCUACGGGAGGCAGCAGUGGGGAAUAUUGCACAAUGGGCGGAAGCCUGAUGCAGCGACGCCGCGUGGGGGAUGACGGCCUUCGGGUUGUAAACUCCUUUCAGCCAUGACGAAGCCCUUGUGGUGACGGUAGUGGUAGAAGAAGCACCGGCUAACUACGUG
rnacentral:rRNA from 1 species